GAUAGUUAGAACCGAUAAAUUAUUACAUUAGGCUGCAUAUUGAUACAGUUAUAAUGUAAGUGAAAUAUAUAUGCAAACUUACAGUCAGUAUAUAACAUGAAAACAAAGUAUAUAAUGUGAAAACUUACAAUUUCAAUUUAAUAUGCAAACAAAGUAUAUAACAAAAUGCGUCUGGUAUUGAUCAUUAUUCGAACUACAAUCACUCACAAGUCAUAACAAAAUUUUGUAUGUGUUUUGCCGUAUACACUCUUUUAUGGUUGGAUAACUUCUGCUUCACAAUGCCUCCAAUCAAUGUACUACUAACAUGUUUCUGCUCGUACACUCGAUCCUUUAAAGGAUAAGUAUGCUGCUGACAAAAAAACGAAUCUUAAAGAAGUCAGUCUUUUUAUUACUAGAUGUCAUUAGUAACAAACCACAUCCCUUCGAUUUACACACCAAAUUAUAUCUGCGAUGUAAUCUAUUAGUAAUUUAUACAAAAAAAAAUUGUAUUUUAAUAAAUUUCAAAACUGAUUUGCUAACCUAUACCAUUUUGUUUAUCAAAUUUUGUAUGAAUAGAAACAUAUAAUAACAACUCUAUGUAUCUAGUUAGACAAUAAUAUGAAUAAACUUAAUAAACUUAUCCAUAUUAUAUAUACAUAAAUGCAUAAAUAUAUUUUAUCAUAAGACAAAACUAUGUACAAAAUAAAAAGACAAAUACUUUAAUACGAUAAAUACACUUACCCGACUGCAUUUGAUUGUAUCAUAUUGAAUUUUUUCACUUCUAAAUUCAACUUUUAAUGUUUUUAAAUUCAACUCAAUACAAAGUUGCUUACCAAUCAAUUUAAUCAAGCCAUCUUAUUUUUCUAUUUCUUCAAUUGCAAUCGAGUCCAACUUGUACUGUUCAUACUCGUUAUAAUAGUUUCAUAUGUCUGAAUGCUUCAAAACAAUUGGUAAUUGCCCCAUAUUUUUUUUAAAAAUUCUAUAAACAAAUACAGUAUACAAAUUGUCAGUAACUAUGAAUUCAAAAUAAACUAAAAAUUAUAAGGUUUCAAAAAUAAUAAAAAUUCGUGUGUUAGAUCACAAAUCGAAAUUGCAGUAUGGAUCAUGUAUACAUUAACAAAAAAUAAUGAAUCAAAACAUAUUGAAAUUUAUAUAAUUUAGUCAAAAAUAAUAAAUACACAAAUAUAAAUGCAAAUACACAAUUUUGAUUUUCAAAAAAAUCGUCUUUCAAUAAUUUUUAAACGAAAUUUAAAUUGAAAAAAUACCUGUUAAAAUUUAUUGUUGAAUAACUCCUCUUUCUUCUCUCAAAUCUUCCCAAAAUAAUUUUUUUUAGCUUUAAUACAAUCAUUUUUGCAGAUAAUGAGUUUUAAUGCUCAUUAAUGGAUGAGCAAUUAGUGUGAAGUUGGAGUAAUUUAAGGUAAUUCACUGCUUUCAAGUUUCCUUUUUU
rnacentral:lncRNA from 1 species